GCUUACGGCCACACCGCCUGGUUCACGCCCGAUCCGGAAGCUAAGAUAGGUUGGGCCUGGUUAGUACUUGGAUGGGAGACCGCCUGGGAAUACCAGGUGCUGUAAGCU
rnacentral:rRNA from 1 species